rnacentral:rRNA from 1 species
AGAAUUUGAUCUGGUUCAGGAUGAACGCUAGCUACAGGCUUAACACAUGCAAGUCGAGGGGUAGCAGGGUAGCAAUACCGCUGACGACCGGCGCACGGGUGAGUAACACGUAUCCAACCUUCCCAUAACUCAGGGAUAGCCUUUCGAAAGAAAGAUUAAUACCUGAUAGUACUUUUUCAAGGCAUCUUGAAAAAGUUAAAGAUUUAUUGGUUAUGGAUGGGAUGCGUUCCAUUAGAUAGUGGUGAGGUAACGGCUCACCAAGUCUUCGAUGGAUAGGGGGUUCUGAGAGGAAGGUCCCCCACAUUGGUACUGAGACACGGACCAAACUCCUACGGGAGGCAGCAGUGAGGAAUAUUGGUCAAUGGGCGAGAGCCUGAACCAGCCAAGUAGCGUGAAGGAAUGAAGGUCCUAUGGAUUGUAAACUUCUUUUAUAGUAGAAUAAAGUGAGCCACGUGUGGUUUUUUGUAUGUAUACUAUGAAUAAGGAUCGGCUAACUCCGUGCCAGCCGCUGC